rnacentral:rRNA from 1 species
AACGAACGCUGGCGGCAGGCUUAACACAUGCAAGUCGAACGCAUCCUUCGGGGUGAGUGGCAGACGGGUGAGUAACGCGUGGGAACGUGCCCUUCAGUUCGGGAUAACCCAGGGAAACUUGGGCUAAUACCGGAUACGUGCGAGAGCAGAAAGAUUUAUCGCUGAAGGAUCGGCCCGCGUCUGAUUAGCUAGUUGGUGGGGUAAUGGCCCACCAAGGCGACGAUCAGUAGCUGGUCUGAGAGGAUGAUCAGCCACAUUGGGACUGAGACACGGCCCAAACUCCUACGGGAGGCAGCAGUGGGGAAUAUUGGACAAUGGGCGCAAGCCUGAUCCAGCCAUGCCGCGUGAGUGAUGAAGGCCUUAGGGUUGUAAAGCUCUUUCGUCCGGGACGAUAAUGACGGUACCGGAAGAAGAAGCCCCGGCUAACUUCGUGCCAGCAGCCGCCGUAA